rnacentral:rRNA from 1 species
UACGAAGGGGGCGAGCGUUGUUCGGAAUUACUGGGCGUAAAGCGUGCGCAGGCGGCUUUGCAAGACAGAUGUGAAAUCCCCGGGCUUAACCUGGGAACUGCAUUUGUGACUGCAUCGCUGGAGUGCGGCAGAGGGGGAUGGAAUUCCGCGUGUAGCAGUGAAAUGCGUAGAUAUGCGGAGGAACACCGAUGGCGAAGGCAAUCCCCUGGGCCUGCACUGACGCUCAUGCACGAAGACGUGGGGAUCAAACAGG